AACGAACGCUGGCGGCAGGCUUAACACAUGCAAGUCGAGCGCCCCGCAAGGGGAGCGGCAGACGGGUGAGUAACGCGUGGGAAUCUACCCAGCUCUACGGAAUAACCCAGGGAAACUUGGACUAAUACCGUAUACGUCCUCCGGGAGAAAGAUUUAUCGGAGCUGGAUGAGCCCGCGUUGGAUUAGCUAGUUGGUGGGGUAAUGGCCUACCAAGGCGACGAUCCAUAGCUGGUCUGAGAGGAUGAUCAGCCACACUGGGACUGAGACACGGCCCAGACUCCUACGGGAGGCAGCAGUGGGGAAUAUUGGACAAUGGGCGAAAGCCUGAUCCAGCCAUGCCGCGUGAGUGAUGAAGGCCCUAGGGUUGUAAAGCUCUUUCACCGGUGAAGAUAAUGACGGUAACCGGAGAAGAAGCCCCGGCUAACUUCGUGCCAGCCGCCGCAGUAAUAC
rnacentral:rRNA from 1 species